rnacentral:lncRNA from 1 species
CUUCCUCCUGCCUACCUCAUACAUUUUACAUCCCAAAUUACUGCCUACUGGGAAAGAAGGUUUUGGGUUUGUUUUAACUUGUUUGUUUGCUUUUUUGUUUGUUUGUUUGUUUUUCUUUAUCUUUUUCCUUGAUUCAUCACCGGCUGAGAUACAUACUAUAUAAACAAGAAAUGUGGCAAAAGGUGGUAUAUCAAGAAACGGGAUGCCAAAAAUUUCACACAAUCCGUGAACACAUUUAAGCAUACUUAAAAAAGAAAUGUCCAUCUCAUCAACAAAAAAUAAGUAUGUAAGGAACACCCAGCUCGUUUCCCAAGAGUGUCAAGUAGCUGAAGUUUUCCUGCAGAAGUUAUCCACUGGGAUAUAGGAGGUAAUAUGGCUGUGGUCCGUGCUGGGUGAAACUGAAAACAUCUGACUGAGCCAAAGAGAAGAGACUAAAGAUAAAUGUUGCUGAAAUAAACACAGUCAAUUGUUAAGACAGUCAUGACAUUAAGACAAAGGAAGAAAAGUUUUCAGAGUGACUCAUCUUUUGGUUCUUCAGAGUGAUCAUAUCUUCCUUGGAAACAGAAAAUACAUGGAGAUGUGUGAACUAUGCAUGCCUCUGUGUUUAUGACUCGAAGAUAAGC